rnacentral:rRNA from 1 species
UACGUAGGGGGCAAGCGUUGUCCGGAUUUAUUGGGCGUAAAGAGCGUGUAGGCGGCUGGGUAGGUCCGUUGUGAAAACUCGAGGCUCAACCUCGAGACGCCGAUGGAAACCCUCCAGCUAGAGUCCGGAAGAGGAGAGUGGAAUUCCUGGUGUAGCGGUGAAAUGCGCAGAUAUCAGGAAGAACACCCGUGGCUAAGGCGGCUCUCUAGUACGGUACUGACGCUGAGACACGAAAGCGUGGGGAGCAAACAGG